rnacentral:rRNA from 1 species
GAUGAACGCUGGCGGCGUGCCUAAUACAUGCAAGUCGAGCGAACGGACGAGAAGCUUGCUUCUCUGAUGUUAGCGGCGGACGGGUGAGUAACACGUGGAUAACCUACCUAUAAGACUGGGAUAACUUCGGGAAACCGGAGCUAAUACCGGAUAAUAUUAUGAACCGCAUGGUUCAAAAGUGAAAGACGGCCUUGCUGUCACUUAUAGAUGGAUCCGCGCUGCAUUAGCUAGUUGGUAAGGUAACGGCUUACCAAGGCAACGAUGCGUAGCCGACCUGAGAGGGUGAUCGGCCACACUGGAACUGAGACACGGUCCAGACUCCUACGGGAGGCAGCAGUAGGGAAUCUUCCGCAAUGGGCGAAAGCCUGACGGAGCAACGCCGCGUGAGUGAUGAAGGUCUUCGGAUCGUAAAACUCUGUUAUUAGGGAAGAACAAAUGUGUAAGUAACUAUGCACGUCUUGACGGUACCUAAUCAGAAAGCCACGGCUAACUACGUG